rnacentral:rRNA from 1 species
AGGGCACCACCAGGAGUGGAGCCUGCGGCUUAAUUUGACUCAACACGGGGAAACUUACCCGGCCUGGACACUGGAAGGAUUGACAGAUUGAGAGCUCUUUCUUGAUUCAGUGGGUGGUGGUGCAUGGCCGUCCUUAGUUGGUGGAGCGAUUUGUCUGGUUAAUUCCGAUAACGAACGAGACUCUAGCCUAUUAAAUAGGCUCCCGGCUUUUAAACGCCGGGAGGACUUCUUAGAGGGACAGGUGGCGGUUCAGCCGCACGAAAGAGAGCAAUAACAGGUCUGUGAUGCCCUUUGUUGUCCGGGGCCGCACGCGCGCUACACUGAAGAGAUCGGCGUGCUUUAUGUUCCUGCUCCGACCGGAGUGGGGAAUCCAGUGAACCUUCUUCGUGAUUGGGAUAGAAGAUUGUAAUUAUUCUUCUUGAACGAGGAAUUCCCAGUAAAUGCGAGUCAUAAGCUCGCGUUGAUUACGUCCCUGCCCUUUGUACACACCGCCCGUCGCUACUACCGAUUGAACGAUUU